rnacentral:lncRNA from 11 species
CUGCAAGGUGGCCCGUUCAUUUGCACGCUUGUUAUGACAGAUGCUUCACUGCCCGACGGCUUUGGGGUUGGAUCACAGUGACAUCACCUCCAUUCCCAGCUCCACCCAAAACAGGAGGAGGCGACAGGAAGAUGAUGGAAAGCCCGAUGCAUCCUGCUGCAAAAAGGCAGCUUUUCGGUGGCAGCGGAGCAAUGGGAGAACCUCUGCCAAGCCCCUUCCUCCUUUGGGCGGGGGAGCCUCGGCUGUUAUCUCGCACGGGGUCCUUUCCUGGCACGGCCCAGCUGCAGGAAGCAUUUGAUUUGCCUUCCUCCAAUGGCUGCCCUCCAGAAGUGCUGCACUACAACUCCCAGUAUGGAAUGGGCAUCAGUUUGGAGGCAGCUGCUGCUUCAAGCCAGAAGAAGGGUCGUCCAGGAGGAGAGGCGAAUGCCAGAAACCUGCCUGCGAGGAUCAUUUUGAUGGAGUGUGCAGAAAAUGCCGGUGAUCCUUGAGGAUUGUGGGGGAUUCCAAGCCCAUCGUUUUAAAGACCCUCUAAGCAGCCAUGAAACGUGGGCUGCAACGGACCCCCCUCCGAAGCAAGCGGAGGCAGGCGGGAGAGCCGGGCCUUGAAGACAUCUGAGCAUUAUCUUGAAGCGCUGGAUGGAAACUCCGAUGUUCCCUCUGAGGUCUCUUGGAUGAAGCCAAGGCCUCGCUUUAAGCAUCUACGCAUUCCUCACCAUGCAAGAGGGG